GGUACGCACUGGCGUCAUUGGUUUCUCCUUUCUGACGAACCAUGAUGUCAUUAAUUUGGUGUUAUGGGGAGUUAGGACUGUUACUUUGAAAAAAUUAGAGUGUUUAAAGCAGGCAUUAGCUUGAAUACAUUAGCAUGGAAUAAUGAAAUAGGACGUUCGAUCCUAUUUUGUUGGUUUCUAGGAUCAACGUAAUGAUUAAUAGGGAUAGUUGGGGGCAUUAGUAUUCAAUUGUCAGAGGUGAAAUUCUUGGAUUUAUUGAAGACUAACUACUGCGAAAGCAUUUGCCAAGGAUGUUUUCAUUAAUCAAGAACGAAAGUUAGGGAAUCGAAAACAAUCAGAUACCGUCGUAGUCUUAACCAUAAACUAUGCCGACUAGGGAUCGAGAAUGAU
rnacentral:rRNA from 1 species